rnacentral:tRNA from 1 species
GCGCCUAUAGCUCAAUUGGAUAGAGCGUCAGCCUCCGGAGCUGGAAGUUUCGGUUCAAGUCCGAAUAGGCGCG